GCACUGGUUAUAGUCUCAGCUGCUCCACUGCCAAUCGAACUCCCUGCUGGUGUCCUGGGAAAGCAGGGGAAGAUGGUCCAAGGCCAUGGAGCUCAUGCACCCAUGAGGAAGACUCAUAAGAAACUGCUGGUGUGAGUCUAGCACAAUGGCUUAGUUGGCUAAAUCCGCCCCUUGAAAGUGCCAGGAUCCCUACAUGGCUUUGCAUUAGCUGCAGCCAUUUGGGGCAUGAACUAGUGGGUGGAAGAUCUUUGUCUCUUCUCUCUGUAAUUUACAAAUAUUUCCCCCUUUCUUUUGAUUGACUUUAUAGUUCUAUUAUGGCCUAUUUUUUU